UGGGCGUAAGCGUGCGUAGCGGCUUUUUAAGUCGGAUGUGAAAUCCCUGAGCUUAACUUAGAAUUGCAUUCGAUACCGGAAAGCUAGAGUAUGGGAGAGGAUGGUAAAUUCCAGUGUACGGUGAAAUGCGUAAGAUCUGGAGGAAUACCGAUGGCGAAGGCAGCCAUCUGGCCUAAUACUGACGCUGAGUACGAAAGCAUGGGGAGCAAACAAGAUUAAUACCCUGGUAGUCCAUGCCGUAAACGAUGUCUACUACCGUUGGGGCCUUUGAGGCUUUAGUGGCGCAGCUAACGCGAUAAGUAGACCGCCUGGGGAGUACAGUCGCAAGACUAAAACUCAAAUGAAUUGACGGGGGCCCGCACAAGCGGUGGAGCAUGUGGUUUAAUUCGAUGCAACGCGAAGAACCUUACCUGGCCUUGACAUACUAAGAACUUUCCAGAGAUGGAUUGGUGCCUUCGGGAACUUAGAUACAGGUGCUGCAUGGCUGUCGUCAGCUCGUGUCGUGAGAUGUUGGGUUAAGUCCCGCAACGAGCGCAACCCUUUUCCUUAUUUGCCAGCGGGUAAUGCCGGGAACUUUAAGGAUACUGCCAGUGACAAACUGGAGGAAGGCGGGGACGACGUCAAGUCAUCAUGGCCCUUACGGCCAGGGCUACACACGUGUACAAUGGUCGGUACAAAGGGUUGUACCUA
rnacentral:rRNA from 1 species